UACGGAGGGUGCAAGCGUUGUCCGGAAUCAUUGGGCGUAAAGAGUUCGUAGGUGGUAUGUUAAGUCUGGUGUUAAAUCCCGAAGCUCAACUUCGGUCCGGCACUGGAUACUGGCAAACUUGAAUGCGGUAGAGGUAAAGGGAAUUCCUGGUGUAGCGGUGAAAUGCGUAGAUAUCAGGAGGAACAUCGGUGGCGUAAGCGCUUUACUGGGCCGUAAUUGACACUGAGGAACGAAAGCCGGGGUAGCAAAUGGG
rnacentral:rRNA from 1 species